rnacentral:misc_RNA from 1 species
GAUGAAGAACGUAGCGAAAUGCGAUACGUAAUGUGAAUUGCAGAAUUCAGUGAAUCAUCGAGUCUUUGAACGCACAUUGCGCCCCCUGGUAUUCCGGGGGGCAUGCCUGUUCGAGCGUCAUUACAACCCUCAAGCUCUGCUUGGUCUUGGGCGUCACCGGUCCCCGGUGUGCCUUAAAAUCAGUGGCGGCGCCAUCUGGCUCUAAGCGUAGUACAUACUCUCGCUACAGACGUCCGGUGGAUGCUGGCCAGCAACCCCCAAUUUAUCAAGGUUGACCUCGGAUCAGGUAGGGAUACCCGCUGAACUUAAGCAUAUCAAUAAGCGGAGGA